rnacentral:rRNA from 1 species
UACUGUUGAGAUCGUGGCCAGACCUCCUCAGAUCUCAGGAGCUAAGCCGGGCUGCGUCUGGUUUGGACUUGGAUGGGAAACUGCUGGGAAUUCCAGAUCCCACAGUGG